rnacentral:lncRNA from 1 species
CUCUUCACCAUCUUAAAAGCGUUUGAGGGCUUCUAACUCCUUUACGAUUAUAUUGUUUUAAAUCUGCUUUUUGAGAAGCUAUUUUCUGUUUUCUUCUAUCUCGUGUAUUUACUUGAUUCAAUCGGGAGAUUGAAUCAAGGGGAUUAAGGUUGGUUGGUGAGCCGGUUUAAAACCAACGAGUGUAAGGGUUUGAUUGUGAGCCCGGGAAAACAAUCGGGGUUGGUUCUAGUCGGUGAGCCUGGGAAAACCGACCGAGUUCGUUGUGAGCUCGUAAAACAACAAGUUCGGUUGUGAAAUUGCAAAACAACCGGCUGUAAUCCAAGGGGGUUAUAGUGAAAUUCCCAAGUGAGACUUGGGGAGUGGACGUAGGAGCAAGGGUUAGCUCUGAACCACUAUAAAACUUUGUGUUUGUAGUGCAUUGUCUCACAUCUUCUUCCCCACACAUUACUCACAGCACUUAGCUUUAAUUAAAUAACUGGCUAUAGUAUUUAGUUAAUCAUCCACAAAGUUUUAAUUAGCUAAGUUAAUUUAAAAACCCAAUU